AAUGAACGCUGGCGGCAGGCCUAACACAUGCAAGUCGAACGCCCCGCAAGGGGAGUGGCGCACGGGUGAGUAACGCGUGGGAAUAUGCCCUUCGGUUCGGAAUAACACAGGGAAACUUGUGCUAAUACCGGAUAAGAUCUACGGAUGAAAGAUUCAUCGCCGAAGGAGUAGCCCGCGUAGGAUUAGCUUGUUGGUGAGGUAACGGCUCACCAAGGCGACGAUCCUUAGCUGGUCUGAGAGGAUGAUCAGCCACACUGGGACUGAGACACGGCCCAGACUCCUGCGGGAGGCAGCAGUGGGGAAUAUUGAACAAUGGGCGAAAGCCUGAUCCAGCCAUGCCGCGUGAGUGAUGAAGGCCUUAGGGUUGUAAAGCUCUUUCGCCAGGGAAGAUAAUGACGGUACCUGGAAAAGAAGCCUCGGCUAACUCCGUGCCAGCCGCCGCGGUAAAAC
rnacentral:rRNA from 1 species